UACGGAGGGUGCAAGCGUUAUCCGGAUUUACUGGGUUUAAAGGGUGUGUAGGCGGACUUUGAAGUCAGCGGUGAAAUCUCCGGGCUCAACCCGGAAACUGCCAUUGAUACUAUUGGUCUUGAAUAUUGUUGAGGUGGGCGGAACGGGUCAUGUAGCGGUGAAAUGCAUAGAUAUGACCCGGAACACCGAUUGCGAAGGCAGCCCACUAAGCAAUGAUUGACGCUGAGGCACGAAAGCGUGGGGAUCAAACAGG
rnacentral:rRNA from 1 species